rnacentral:rRNA from 1 species
UACAGAGGUCUCAAGCGUUGUUCGGAUUCAUUGGGCGUAAAGGGUGCGUAGGUGGCGGGGUAAGUCAGGUGUGAAAUUUCGGAGCUUAACUCCGAAACUGCAUUCGAUACUGCCGUGCUUGAGGACUGGAGAGGAGACUGGAAUUUACGGUGUAGCAGUGAAAUGCGUAGAGAUCGUAAGGAAGACCAGUGGCGAAGGCGGGUCUCUGGACAGUUCCUGACACUGAGGCACGAAGGCCAGGGGAGCAAACGGG